rnacentral:lncRNA from 1 species
AACUAGAUUUGCCAUUGCAAGCAAUAGCGGAUGGCACCCUUUCCCCAUUGCCAGGCCAGCGGCAGCCAUUCAGAAAAUUUUUGCUGUUUCCAUGGCAACGGCGGCCAUUUUGAAAAUUCGAAACUCAAAAGUUAAGUCUACAUAAGCUAGGCAACAUUUGUUAUAAGUUUCAUUAAAUUUAAAGCAUUUGGAAGUUUUUCAUAAUUUUGCUGUUCCCAUGGUAACGGCGGCCAUUUUGAAUAUUCCAAAGUCAAACCCCCGAUGCAAUUUUUUCCCUCCAUAAUCAUAUACCAUUUAAUGUCUCUAGAAUAAAUUUUAACAUUAAUGUUCUGGAAUGUUCUGUGAAAAUUCAAAGUUUUGACCUUUUUGCAUUGUUUCCAAGGUAACAACAGAUAUUUUGGAAAUUCCAACGCCAAAUUCCACAUCUUCCAAUGUUGCUCAUCGUUACUGUGAAGUUUUAUGAAGUUUGGAGCAUUUUGAUAUUUUUGAAAUUUUUGGUGUAGUUUCCAUGGCAACAUAGUAGUUCCAAUGAGUGCCAAAAUCAUCCAACACCUGUAUAUGGCCGGCACCUACAUUGUAUCAAAAUAUAAUGUUUCUGAGUUUAAGCAUAUCAAAACAGUUCAUCAAAACAAAAAACAGGAUUUUUUCACAUUUGUUUCGUUUCCAUGGCAACGGCAGCCAUCUUGAUGGUGCCAUACCCCACUGCACUAUAGAAUGUGGUGGUCUACAUUAUGGUAUAGUUCCAUCAAUAUUGUUCAAGCCAAUUCCGAGAAAUAGAAUGGACAAAAAAGUGUGGAAGAAUAAAAAUAAUAAUAUGAAAAAAAGAAACGAACAAUAACAAUAUGUCACCCCAACUCCGUUGAGGGUGCCAUAAAAA